GAUGAAGAACGCAGCGAAAUGCGAUAAGUAAUGUGAAUUGCAGAAUUCAGUGAAUCAUCGAAUCUUUGAACGCACAUUGCGCCCUCUGGUAUUCCGGGGGGCAUGCCUGUUCGAGCGUCAUUAUAACCACUCAAGCUCUCGCUUGGUAUUGGGGCUCGCGGUUCCGCGGCCCCUAAAAUCAGUGGCGGUGCCUGUCGGCUCUACGCGUAGGAAUACUCCUCGCGAUUGAGUCCGGUAGGUCUACUUGCCAGCAACCCCCAAUUUUUACAGGUUGACCUCGGAUCAGGUAGGGAUACCCGCUGAACUUAAGCAUAUCAAUAAGCGGAGGA
rnacentral:misc_RNA from 1 species